GGUACUACGCCGGACUGAACGGAUUACAUUGAUGCUGUAAAUCAUAAGAUUUAAUUUCUUUAGUGCCU
rnacentral:tRNA from 1 species